AUUGAACGCUGGCGGCAGGCUUAACACAUGCAAGUCGAGCGGAGAGAGGUAGCUUGCUACUGAUCUUAGCGGCGGACGGGUGAGUAAUGCUUAUGAAUCUGCCUGGUAGUGGGGGACAACGUUUCGAAAGGAACGCUAAUACCGCAUACGUCCUACGGGAGAAAGUGGGGGAUCGUCGGACCUCACGCUAUCAGAUGAGCCUAGGUCGGAUUAGCUAGUUGGUGAGGUAAAGGCUCAACAAGGCGACGAUCCGUAACUGGUCUGAGAGGAUGAUCAGUCACACUGGAACUGAGGCACGGUCCAAACUCCUACGGGAAGCAGCAGUGGGGAAUAUUGGGCAAUGGGCGAAAGCCUGAUCCAGCCAUGCCGCGUGUGUGAAGAAGGUCUGCAGAUUGUAAAGCACUUUAAGUUGGGAGGAAGGGCAGUAAGUUAAUACCUUGCUGUUUUGACGUUACCAACAGAAUAAGCACCGGCUAACUUCGUGCCAGCAGCCGCAGUAAAAC
rnacentral:rRNA from 1 species